rnacentral:rRNA from 1 species
GAGUGGGUUCAAACCGUGACUAUAGCACUGGAUCCCAUCAGACCUCCAAAGUUAAGCAUCCCUAGGCUUGAAUAGUAUUGGGCUGAGUGACCACCUGGGAAGUCCAAGUGGUCACCCACU